rnacentral:misc_RNA from 1 species
GAUGAAGAACGCAGCGAAAUACGAUAAGUAAUGUGAAUUGCAGAAUUCAGUGAAUCAUCGAAUCUUUGAACGCACAUUGCGCCCCUUGGUAUUCCGAGGGGCAUGCCUGUUCGAGCGUCAUAAUAGCCAAUCCAGCCCCGCUGGGUCUUGGGCUCGCCUGCCGGCGGGCCCUAAAGCCAGUGGCGGUGCCGUCCGGCUCCUAAGCGUAGUAAAUACCUCGCUAUAGGCCCCGGCGCGCGCCCGCCAGCAACCCCCUUCUACGGUUGACCUCGGAUCAGGUAGGGAUACCCGCUGAACUUAAGCAUAUCAAUAAGCGGAGGA